rnacentral:rRNA from 1 species
GCCUGAUCCAGCCAUGCCGCGUGCGGGAAGAAGGCCUUCGGGUUGUAAACCGCUUUUGUCAGGGAAGAAACGCUCUGGGCUAAUACCCCGGAGUAAUGACGGUACCUGAAGAAUAAGCACCGGCUAACUACGUGCCAGCAGCCGCGGUAAUACGUAGGGUGCAAGCGUUAAUCGGAAUUACUGGGCGUAAAGCGUGCGCAGGCGGUUGUGCAAGACAGAUGUGAAAUCCCCGGGCUUAACCUGGGAACUGCAUUUGUGACUGCACGGCUGGAGUGCGGCAGAGGGGGAUGGAAUUCCGCGUGUAGCAGUGAAAUGCGUAGAUAUGCGGAGGAACACCGAUGGCGAAGGCAAUCCCCUGGGCCUGCACUGACGCUCAUGCACGAAAGCGUGGGGAGCAAACAGGAUUAGAUACCCUGGUAGUCCACGCCCUAAACGAUGUCAACUGGUUGUUGGAAGGGUUCCCUUUCAGUAACGAAGCUAACG